UUGUGACGUCAGUGCCUAGAGCUUUCUGCCUUGUAAACAUUAACAUUUGAUCAUUUCGCUUCUAAUUCCGCGUUGUGUGAACACCGUGCUUUUAAGUAGAUAGCUCUUCGUACGGUAAUACAAACCUUUCAGAUUAUCUGGUGUCAUGGAAGCCUGCUUGAGACGCAUUUUUAUUAUGCUGAAUUGUUACCUUGGUUGGUUUCUGGCCAUUGCCCUGACGUUCUUCUUUUUAGCAAAAUCGUCCAGCAUUGAUAAAUUCAUCCCAGUCAUCUGCGUUUUUGUCAUCUUUCUAAUCUUCACCAUGGUUUACAAUGUCUACUAUAUAAUCUGGAAACGACGGAUGCAAAGACUUUAUAGACCGCCACCGAUUGAAUUUAUCUUCAAUGAAAGAUUUUUCAUUGAUAUGCUUUAGAAGUACAUAACAGCAUUUCAGUUUUUGAAAUCUUUAAUAUUUUUACUGUGACCAACAAUGACUUUUUGUAGCUUUAAUAUUUUAGCCUUAAGUGAGAUUCGUUCAAUUCUUUGCUUUUAAAAAACAAAUCUUAAAGAGCUUCAGACAUUGAUAUAUGUAUUAUUAGAAAUAUGAGGUUUAUAUAGUGUCCUAUUAAAUAACUUGCACUGCC